GGUUGCAUGUAGAAAAACAAACUCAGUUUUUGAAAACCAGAAUUUCAUGUAUAUGGACCCAACAUAUUAUUCAAACAAGUUUAUUUGACAGUAAUAUAUAAGACAAUUAUUGCCCUUUUGUAAUUUUUACAAGUAAAGUGUAAACUUUGAAUUUUGUUUGAAAUUGUGAUUUCCGUUUUUGAUUUGGUUCUCACAAUAUAGAUACUACAUUCAUAGAAAGUAAGUUACUUUAACUUGUUGGUA
rnacentral:lncRNA from 1 species